AAAUAUUUUUCUAACAUAAUUAAUUUGGAUGAGGACAAUGAUAACGUAAGUUUUUUUUUUUGAGAGAGAGAUAGGUAGCACGCUAGCCAUUUCGUUUAUUUUAUUUAAAAAUAAAUUUAGUUGAAAAUAUGAAUAAAUUAAAAUUUAAAUUUGAAAUUUUGAAUAUCAAUCAUUAAAUUUUUUGUCACUUAUUUUAGGGACGGGCUAGUUGUAAUAUUCUGGUCUG
rnacentral:lncRNA from 1 species